UUUACCCUACGGGGGGCAGCAGUGAGGAAUAUUGGUCAAUGGGCGGAAGCCUGAACCAGCCAAGUCACGUGAGGGAAUAAGGCCCUACGGGUCGUAAACCUCUUUUGCCGGGGAGCAAGGGCCGGGACGCGUCCCGGCCCGGAGAGUACCCGGAGAAAAAACAUCGGCUAACUCCGUGCCAGCAGCCGCGGUAAUACGGAGGAUGCGAGCGUUAUCCGGAUUUAUUGGGUUUAAAGGGUGCGUAGGCGGGCUUUUAAGUCAGCGGUAAAAAUUCGGGGCUCAACCCCGCCCGGCCGGUGAAACUG
rnacentral:rRNA from 1 species